AAUUGUAACCCAUUAUUUCCUUAAAUAUAAGCUACAUCUUGAUCUGAUAUACUUUCUAAUAAAAAUUUUAGAAAAUUAUUAUUUUAAUAAAAUAUUCUGUAAACAACGAUUUUUAAACUAUAUAAAUUUAAGUGAGAUCCAUCGGGAUUAUCGAUUACAAAACAGGUUCCCUGAAUAGACUAAAAUACCGCCAAAUUUUUAAAAUUCAAGAACUUCACUAUACUCAACAAAUAUUUAAAAUUAAAUUUUAAAAAAUAG
rnacentral:rRNA from 1 species